rnacentral:rRNA from 1 species
GACGAACGCUGGCGGCGUGCUUAACACAUGCAAGUCGAACGGAAAGGCCUCUUUCGGGGGGUACUCGAGUGGCGAACGGGUGAGUAACACGUGAGUAACCUGCCCUUGACUUUGGGAUAACUUCAGGAAACUGGGGCUAAUACCGGAUAGGAGCUCCUGCUGCAUGGUGGGGGUUGGAAAGUUUCGGCGGUUGGGGAUGGACUCGCGGCUUAUCAGCUUGUUGGUGGGGUAGUGGCUUACCAAGGCUUUGACGGGUAGCCGGCCUGAGAGGGUGACCGGCCACAUUGGGACUGAGAUACGGCCCAGACUCCUACGGGAGGCAGCAGUGGGGAAUAUUGCACAAUGGGUGGAAGCCUGAUGCAGCAACGCCGGGUGCGGGAUGACGCCCUUCGGGUUGUAAACCGCUUUCGCUCAUGACGAAGCUUUGUGUGACGGUAGUGGGUAAAGAAGCACCGGCUAACUACGUG